AGUGAACGCUGGCGGUAGGCCUAACACAUGCAAGUCGAACGGCAGCACAGUAAGAGCUUGCUCUUACGGGUGGCGAGUGGCGGACGGGUGAGGAAUACAUCGGAAUCUACUUUUUCGUGGGGGAUAACGUAGGGAAACUUACGCUAAUACCGCAUACGACCUACGGGUGAAAGCAGGGGAUCUUCGGACCUUGCGCGAUUGAAUGAGCCGAUGUCGGAUUAGCUAGUUGGCGGGGUAAAGGCCCACCAAGGCGACGAUCCGUAGCUGGUCUGAGAGGAUGAUCGGCCACACUGGAACUGAGACACGGUCCAGACUCCUACGGGAGGCAGCAGUGGGGAAUAUUGGACAAUGGGCGCAAGCCUGAUCCAGCCAUACCGCGUGGGUGAAGAAGGCCUUCGGGUUGUAAAGCCCUGUUGUUGGGAAAGAAAAGCAGCAGGUUAAUACCCCGCUGUUCUGACGGUACCCAAAGAAUAAGCACCGGCUAACUUCGUG
rnacentral:rRNA from 1 species